rnacentral:rRNA from 1 species
GUCUACGGCCAUGCCACCCUGAACGCGCCCGAUCUCGUCUGAUCUCGGAAGCUAAGCAGGGUCGGGCCUGGUUAGUACUUGGAUGGGAGAAAUGAGAAAAUCAUCUGACA